rnacentral:rRNA from 1 species
CCUACGGGGGGCAGCAGUGAGGAAUAUUGGUCAAUGGACGAGAGUCUGAACCAGCCAAGUAGCGUGAAGGAUGACUGCCCUAUGGGUUGUAAACUUCUUUUAUAUGGGAAUAAAAUGUUCCACGUGUGGGAUUUUGUAUGUACCAUAUGAAUAAGGAUCGGCUAACUCCGUGCCAGCAGCCGCGGUAAUACGGAGGAUCCGAGCGUUAUCCGGAUUUAUUGGGUUUAAAGGGAUCGUAGGUGGAUUGUUAAGUCAGUUGUGAAAGUUUGCGGCUCAACCGUAAAAUUGCUGUUGAAACUGGCAGUCGUGAGUACAGUAGAGGUGGGCGGAAUUCGUGGUGUAGCGGUGAAAUGCUUAGAUAUCACGAAGAACUCCGAUUGCGAAGGCAGCUCACUGGACUGCAACUGACACUGAGGCUCGAAAGUGUGGGUAUCAAACAGGAUUAGAUACCCCAGUAGUC